UGACCUCGGAUCAGACGUGAUUACCCGCUGAAUUUAAGCAUAUUAUUAAGCGGAGGAAAAGAAACUAACAAGGAUUCCCCUAGUAACGGCGAGUGAACGGGGAAGAGCCCAACACCGAAUCCCUUGGCGCAAGUCAACGGGAAAUGUGGUGUUAAGGUAGCCCUUCGUGUCAGUCUAGGCGUCUCAAGUCCACCUGAUUGUGGCUCAAGCCCAGAGAGGGUGUAAGGCCCGUAGAGACGCUCCGACUGAUUCCUGGGGUUUACCUACGAGUCGGCUUGUUUGGGAAUGCAGGCCAAAGCGGGUGGUAAACUCCAUCCAAGGCUAAAUACUGGCACGAGUCCGAUAGCGGACAAGUACCGUGAGGGAAAGUUGAAAAGAACUUUGAAGAGAGAGUUCAAUAGUACGUGAAACCGCUUAGAGGCAAACGGAUGGUGCUCAUACUGGCCUGAGGAAUUCAACUGUGACGGUGGCUGGACGAGCUGGCGUUCCGAUCUCUCUCUUUGGGACGGGCGUCGGUUUGGCUAUCAGCUCCGACAUGGUGCACUUUCCUUGGUGCCUCCGCCACGACCGACGACACUGGCUACCCGCGGCUGGGGUAAGGUGACAAACUGCUUCGGCAAUUUGUGUUAUAGACCCCGGCGUCGGACAUGGUUUGGCCAGGACGUCGAGCUUGCGGCGCCCGCUCCUUGUGGGCUCGCAUGUUGGCUAGCUUGGCUGCGCCGAUGCUUGCACUGGACAACCAGUACAGGUGACGGUUGUGGUCUUGUCUCUAGUUGGCCUCUGCGAGUUUGGCGCCUAUAGUCUGUGGUGUACUUGUGGGUAGACUAUCCGACCCGUCUUGAAACACGGACCAAGGAGUCUAACAUUGUGCGCGAGUCAUGGGAUUCUACGAAACCCAAAGGGCGCAGUGAAAGUAAAGGCCUGCUUCUCGUAGGCUGAGGUGGGAUCUCGUGCAUCGCGAUUGGCGAGCGCACCACCGGCCCGUCCUAUCUGUCUCUGUCAGUGGGGCGGCGCAAGAGCGUACACGUUGGGACCCGAAAGAUGGUGAACUAUGCUUGCGCAGCUCGAAGUCAGUGGAAACACUGAUGGAGGAGCGCAGCGUUUCUGACGUGCAAAUCGAUCGUCAAACGUGAGUAUAGGGGCGAAAGACUAAUCGAACCAUCUAGUAGCUGGUUCCCUCCGAAGUUUCCCUCAGGAUAGCUGGCACUCGGGAAACAGUUUUAUCCGGUAAAGCGAAUGAUUAGAGGCAUUGGGUCGAAACGACCUCGACCUAUUCUCAAACUUUAAAUGGGUAAGAUGCUCGUCUCGCUUUAAUUGGAGGCGGGCUUCACCUCUCUAUAAACGUGAAUGUGAGUGCCCAGUGGGCCAUUUUUGGUAAGCAGAACUGGCUGUGUGGUAUGAACCAAACGCGCGGUUAAGGCGCCCAAUGCGGACGCUCAUGAGACACCACAAAAGGUGUUGGUCGAUACUGACAGCAGGACGGUGGCCAUGGAAGUCGGAACCCGCUAAGGAGUGUGUAACAACUCACCUGCCGAAUCAACCAGCCCUGAAAAUGGAUGGCGCUGGAGCGUCGGGCCUUAUACCGUCGUGCCGUUGGGGUGCGAAGCAGACAAAUAAUCUGUGUGGAUGUCCCAACGAGUAGGAGGGUCGCCGUGUGGUGAGCGCAGAAGGUGCGGCCGUGAGGCCGGCUGGAGCCGCCACGGAGCGCAGAUCUUGGUGGUAGUUAGCAAUUACUCAAGUGAGAACCUUGAGGACUGAAGUGGAGAAGGGUUCCAUGUGAACAGCAGUUGAACAUGGGUCAGGCGGUCCUAAGCGAUCGGUGGUAAACUCCGCUACCUAGACGAGGGUUGACAACUAUCAUGACUUAACUAACUGUGACGUGUUAUAGCCCUCCGGAGCGAAAGGGAAUCGUGUUAAAUAUUCACGACCCUUACCGUGGAGAUCGCCCCCUUUCGGGGGGCAAGCGCUGCGGUAACGCAAACGAACACAGAGACGUCGGCUGGAGCCCGGGGCGAAGAGUUCUCUUUCUUUGUAAGGAGCGUACCCCUGGAAUCGGCCUUGUCCGGAGAUAGAGGGCGUGGCUUCCGUAAAGCCAGCGCGGGUCUUGCGCUGUCCGGUGCACUCUAGUCGGCCCUUUGAAAAUCUCUGUGGGAGACACGUGCUGAUUUUCACGGUCAGGCCGUACCCAUAUCCGCAGCAGCGUCUCCAAGGUGAACAGCCGUCUCUAGUCCUAGAACAAUGUAGGUAAGGGAAGUCUGGCAAAAUGGCAUCCGUAACUUCGCGGAAAAGAGAUUGGCCUCUGCGAGGGCUGGCGUCGGAUGGGCUGGCGAAGAAGCUGUUUUCCGGUUUUGGUGAGGACUGGGCGAGGCUUUCGGGCUUUACUCGGACCAUGCCGAGACCAGGCAGUAGACGACGUCAGCUGUGCUUGUCGUGUUUUUUCGCGGCGCUUUCGUCGCGGCAGCUUCGUCGGCAAC
rfam:Macrostomum lignano unitig_47386, whole genome shotgun sequence.